rnacentral:piRNA from 1 species
UAGAGACUUGGUGCCCUGAGUUCCAGCC